rnacentral:lncRNA from 1 species
GGAGACCGCUGGGCGGGGACGCGAGGAGGGAAGGGGCGUCUGUGGGCGGGACCUCCCGGGAUUGGAGUGAAGAGGGUAUCUGCUUGACAGUGGAUCCCUGGGGAUCUACGCUGAGUUCGGAGAUGCUCCAGCUCGGGCCGCCCCUGUCUGAGCGGAGCUUUGCGGCGCUGAAGCUUACAGGGGAAGGAAAAGCCUCGCCCGGCGUCUGAUUGGCGGAACCGCGCUGUAGGAUUCUUUCCUCAGGGAUCCAGUCUAGGGGAUCUGGUGGGAUGGAGGGUCGUCGAUGUAUGGAGUAUUGCUUUGGAGUCCUCGGCCACUCGCUGGGAGAGGAGGAGGAUCGCAGAGGGAUCCAGCGGAAAUAGCCUCCCAGGACCGGGAUCCCCGUGGAUCCCGGGGGAUCUCGGGGCAUAAUCUGCAGGGACAAAGGCCUCGGGAGGCUCGGGCCGCGGGAGAACUGGGGCCGCUGCAUUCUGGGUUCUGGCGGCAGGUGCCAGGCAGGGCGCGAGUGAUCCGCUGAUCGAGGCGGUGGCAGCGGGAGGACACCCGCUCCGGGCGACCGGCCGGGGGCGCCCUUUCGCGCCCCAGGGCUGCGGCCGCUGGGCUACGGGGAGCCGCGGGCGGACCAUGAAGGGCGGAGCCCCAGGGAAGGGGCCGGCCCUCACCCCCCGCUCCCCCGCUCCCCCCUUACCCCAGGCCGCAGCCUGGGAUUCCCCAGGGACCCCCCCGGAGCCGCCGCGUCUCCCAUGGACUUGCCCGGGGACUCCAGCCCGCCUGGCCAGCCGCGUCUGUGCCGCCAGCCUCUGACUCGAGCAUUAUGGGGAGCCAGGAGCCCGAAACGGCCGAGGCUGCAGCUCCCGGGGGCCCCUUCUCCCCUGGAAAAGGCCUCUCGGCGGGUCCUGGCCGUGGUGCUAGAAGAUGUCAUGGCUGUUCACAUGGUCCCCGUGGUGCCCUCAAAGCAGACCUCCAUACCACAGCACCACAGCUACCAUCAGGAU